UACAUAGGGUGCAAGCGUUGUCCGGAAUUAUUGGGCGUAAAGAGCUCGUAGGUGGUUUGUUACGUCGGUUGUGAAAUUCAGGGGCUCAACCCCUGACUUGCAGCCGAUACGGGCAAGCUAGAGUUUGGUAGGGGAGACUGGAAUUCCUGGUGUAGGCGGUGGAAUGCGCAGAUAUCAGGAGGAACACCGAUGGCGAAGGCAGGUCUCUGGGCCAAUACUGACACUGAGGAGCGAAAGCGUGGGGAGCGAACAGG
rnacentral:rRNA from 1 species